AACGAACGCUGGCGGCGCGCCUAAUACAUGCAAGUCGAGCGAGAAGGUGUAGCAAUACACUUGUAAAGCGGCGAACGGGUGAGGAAUGCAUGGGUAACCUACCCUCGAGUGGGGAAUAACUAGCCGAAAGGUUAGCUAAUACCGCAUACGUUUCCGGAACUUCGGUUUCGGAAAGAAAGCAAUACCGUGGGUAUUGCGCUCAUGGAUGGGCUCAUGUCCUAUCAGCUUGUUGGGUGAGGUAACGGCUCACCAAGGCUUCGACGGGUAGCUGGUCUGAGAGGACGAUCAGCCACACUGGCACUGCGACACGGGCCAGACUCCUACGGAGGCAGCAGUAAGGAAUAUUGCGCAAUGGACGAAAGUCUGACGCAGCGACGCCGCGUGGGGGAUGAAGGUCUUCGGAUUGUAAACCCCUUUCGGGAGGGAGAUGGAGUGGGUAACCACUUGGAC
rnacentral:rRNA from 1 species